AUUGAACGCUGGCGGCAGGCCUAACACAUGCAAGUCGAACGAGUGGCGGACGGGUGAAUAAUGUCUGGGAAACUGCCCGAUGGAGGGGGAUAACUACUGGAAACGGUAGCUAAUACCGCAUACCAUCGGAUGUGCCCAGAUGGGAUUAGCUUGUAGGUGAGGUAACGGCUCACCUAGGCGACGAUCCCUAGCUGGUCUGAGAGGAUGACCAGCGAGACUGGAACUGAGACACGGUCCAGAAUCCGACGGGAGGCAGCAGUGGGGAAUAGGGAAAAAGGGGGGGAAGCAUGAUGAAGCCAUACCGCGGGGAUGAAGAAGGCCUUCGGGUUGUAAAGUACGUUCAGCGGGGAGGCGUUACCCGCAGAAGAAGCACCGGCUAACUCCGUGCCAGCAGCCGCGGUAAUAC
rnacentral:rRNA from 1 species